UCGGAACAUUGAGGCGUCGGAAUUACGGGCAGGCCCCCAUGGGACUGACAUGUAGUCUCCCAUGCACUACUACUAUGUAACAUGAGGAGAGGAGGGCACGGGCACAAGCAAUUUAAAAUACGAAGGAUGCUGGGGAGGUUAUGGUGAGGACCGGGAUGAGGGGCGAGACGGAUCGUCAUUAAGGCCAAAAGGGGCUGUGGCGGACAGCCUACAGAUCCACCUUCUCUCGGCAGCUCUCCUCUGGACCAGGGACCAACCGGCAUUGGUCUCCAGACCUGACAAUGAAAAGUUAUUGAUAUGAUGGGAGAUGAAGUGAGUAUAUAGCCGUUUAUUGUUUGUUCCUUUCUGAAUGUGGUAAAUAUGCAGGUAUAGCCUCUGUUUAAUGGUAGCUCCUGUUUCACCCACAUAGAUACUCCUGCAUAGUCUGCACUGGAUGGCGUAGACGACGUUGCAGGAGAGUAGUGUGAAGGUCUGCGAGAUGGGGACACCGGCUCGAGAGUUAUAGAUAUACUUCAGGGAGAACGGGCCGGUCUGGCUGGAAGAGGGCGGUCACUUCCCCUUUAACAGUCCGAAGAAAACGUUUGGAAUAGCCGCGGGGUCUAAGGGCCUUGAAAAGGGUCCUGGUGGCCUCCUCUACGUGAUGGGGUAGAGAGCAGAUGCGGUGGAAACGGAUUAGUUGGGACUUGAUGAUGGAGCUGAAAGUAUGCCGGGGAUGGUAGCUGGUGUUGAAUACUAAGGAAUGUCUGUCAGUGUCUUUAAAAUAAACCUUGGUUGCUAAUGUUUUGUGUCCAUCCUUCGUGUCGGUGAAGAAAACGAGGGUUAGGGUUAGGGGUUAGGGUUAGGUUAUGGAAAUCCCCACGAUAACGCAGGGGAGGUGCACGGUCCAUCCGGCCCUCAAACCUCCAGCGGUC
ensembl:lncRNA